GACGAACGCUGGCGGCGUGCCUAAUACAUGCAAGUAGAACGCUGAAGAGAGGAGCUUGCUCUUCUUGGAUGAGUUGCGAACGGGUGAGUAACGCGUAGGUAACCUGCCUGGUAGCGGGGGAUAACUAUUGGAAACGAUAGCUAAUACCGCAUAACAACAGUUGUUGCAUGACAGCUGUUUAAAAGAUGCAAUUGCAUCACUACCAGAUGGACCUGCGUUGUAUUAGCUAGUUGGUGAGGUAACGGCUCACCAAGGCGACGAUACAUAGCCGACCUGAGAGGGUGAUCGGCCACACUGGGACUGAGACACGGCCCAGACUCCUACGGGAGGCAGCAGGAGGGAAGCUUCGGCAAUGGGGGGAACCCUGACCGAGCAACGCCGCGUGAGUGAAGAAGGUUUUCGGAUCGUAAAGCUCUGUUGUAAGAGAAGAACGGGUGUGAGAGUGGAAAGUUCACACUGUGACGGUAUCUUACCAGAAAGGGACGGCUAACUACGUG
rnacentral:rRNA from 1 species